GCUUAGAGAGGGGUCAAUGUCCUAUCAGCUAGUUGGUAGGGUAAUGGCCUACCAAGGCGAAGACGGGUAGCCGGCCUGAGAGGGUGGUCGGCCACCCUGGGACUGAGACACUGCCCAGACUCCUACGGGAGGCUGCAGUCGAGAAUCUUUCGCAAUGCCCGAAAGGGUGACGAAGCGACGCCGCGUGUGGGAAGAAGGCCUUCGGGUUGUAAACCACUGUCGGGAGUUAAGAAAUGUAAGGGUGCUAACAGUAUCCUUACUUGACUAAGGCUCCGGAGGAAGCCACGGCUAACUCUGUGCCAGCAGCCGCGGUAAUACAGAGGCGGCAAGCGUUGUUCGGAAUUAUUGGGCGUAAAGAGCACGUAGGCGGCCUUGUAAGUCAGUUGUGAAAGCCUUCUGCUUAACGGAAGAACAGCAUCUGAUACUGCAGGGCUAGAGUGCGGAAGGG
rnacentral:rRNA from 1 species